UUACGGUCACAUCACGUCGAAACACCGGUUUCCGUCCGAUCAUUGAAAUUAAGCAACAUCAAGCCUGGUCAGUACCUAGAUGGGUGACCACUUGAGAAUACCAGGUGCUGUAAG